rnacentral:rRNA from 1 species
UGGUGGAGUGAUUUGUCUGCUUAAUUGCGAUAACGAACGAGACCUUGACCUGCUAAACAGCCCAACUCACUUUUGUGGGUUGCUGGCUUCUUAGAGGGACUUUUGGCUCAAGCCAAUGGAAGUACGAGGCAAAAACA